GACGAACGCUGGCGGCGUGCUUAACACAUGCAAGUCGAACGGAAAGGCCCUGCUUUUGUGGGGUGCUCGAGUGGCGAACGGGGGAGUAACACGUGAGUAACCUGCCCUUGACUUUGGGAUAACUUAAGGAAACUGGGGCUAAUACCGGAUAGGAGCUACUGCUGCAUGGUGGGGGUUGGAAAGUUUCGGCGGUUGGGGGUGGACUCGCGGCUUAUCAGCUUGUUGGUGGGGUAGUGGCUUACCAAGGCUUUGACGGGUAGCCGGCCUGGUCGGGGGACCUGCCACACUGGGACUGGGCUACGGCCCAGACUCCUACGGGAGGCAGCGGUGGGGAAUAUUGCACAAUGGGCGGAAGCCUGAUGCAGCAACGCCGCGUGCGGGAUGACGUCCUUCGGGUUGUAAACCGCUUUCGCCUGUGACGAAGCGUGAGUGACGGUAAUGGGUAAAGAAGCACCGGCUAACUACGUG
rnacentral:rRNA from 1 species